AUUGAACGCUGGCGGCAGGCUUAACACAUGCAAGUCGAGCGGAGAGAGGUAGCUUGCUACCGAUCUUAGCGGCGGACGGGUGAGUAAUGCUUAGGAAUCUGCCUAUUAGUGGGGGACAACAUUUCGAAAGGAAUGCUAAUACCGCAUACGUCCUACGGGGGAAAGCAGGGGAUCUUCGGACCUUGCGCUAAUAGAUGAGCCUAAGUCGGAUUAGCUAGUUGGUGGGGUAAAGGCCUACCAAGGCGACGAUCUGUAGCGGGUCUGAGAGGAUGAUCCGCCACACUGGGACUGAGGCACGGCCCAGAAUCCUACGGGAGGCAGCAGUGGGGAAUAUUGGACAAUGGGCGCAAGCCUGAUCCAGCCAAGCCGCGUGUGUGAAGAAGGCCUUAUGGUUGUAAAGCACUUUAAGCGAGGAGGAGGCUACUUUAGUUAAUACCUAGAGAUAGUGGACGUUACUCGCAGAAUAAGCACCGGCUAACUCUGUGCCAGCCGCCGCAGUAA
rnacentral:rRNA from 1 species